rnacentral:rRNA from 1 species
UACAGAGGGGGCGAGCGUUAUUCGGAAUUAUUGGGCGUAAAGGGCGCGUAGGCGGCCUUUCAAGUGACGGGUGAAAUCCCUCGGCUUAACCGAGGAACUGCCUGUCAGACUGGAAGGCUUGAGACCGGGAGAGGUGAGUGGAAUUCCCAGUGUAGCGGUGAAAUGCGUAGAUAUUGGGAGGAACACCAGUGGCGAAGGCGGCUCACUGGACCGGUACUGACGCUGAGACGCGAAAGCGUGGGGAGCGAACAGG